UCUGGUUUCAGCUGGAAAUCAAAUGUGGUCACAUCUGCGUACUUGUAAUAAUCUUUCUAAUCUCCUCAUUUUGGAGCAAGCGCUGGUGUCCAGUGGUUUUGCAUAAUGACCCAUUCGAGUAAUUUUCAGGGUGCUGCUUAAUUUUUUUUUUCUUAUCCCGGACGGCACAACAAUUCAUGGGCCGUGGAUAUCUGGUUCAGCUACUCCUGAGCUCUUUGCUUUGACGUGACCUCCAAAUUGUCUGUCUUGCUCAGGAAAGUCCUGGCUACACUGAGUGACAUCACCUGCCAGAGUUGGUAAGUAAAUCACAUUUUUUUUUUUGGUUUCUCCCUUAACAAAUGAUGUCUGUGUAAAAUGAUGCAGAACCACACAGUAAACUGUGAUGCUAGGGGGAUAAGUGAAAAAGAUCAGGCCUUGUUUGAUGUUUCCCCGAAGCCUUCUCCCUCACUCGCCCGACCUAUAAGUUACUGACUGGACUCCUUGACAUCCCCACAUCUUUCGUCUGGCACAGGCCAUGCGGAGGGGUGCAAGGCUUGCAAAGCUCAGACCAGGCAGCAGAACAGCUCUCCGAUGGGCAGCCCUGGGAAUGCUUUGAUCCCUGCUUUUGCUGUUGCUGCUUCUCUAAAGCCUCAGCCCAGGAUCCUUCUUCCUCUGAUGUAAAGCAUUUUCAGCAGAAGUAUGUAUUUGCGAAAAAUGUCAUUGAAAUUGGCAUGGAAAUAAGUGAAGGCGUUUGGACAAUGGACAGAUCCGCCCAACAGCAAUUGUUAAAAAAUGCAAAAUACAAAUGAGAUUGAAUUUUAAAAAGUUAGAGAUUUUUUUCUUUUUUUAUCCUACAGCUGCAGACUAUCCUCCUUUAAAUGAUCCUGGUCAGAGUUUCUUGAUCAUUGGCAGGUUUAGUGCCCAACCUCACUUAACCCACAAGGAAUUUUUGGCCUCUGGGAAAGCAGAGUUCCCAAUUGCCAGUGAUGCAUGGACCAGGUGGUGAGAUGUCAGGCUGUUGCACUGUGGUGUUAUUUGUGCAGGGGGAAAUGGUUUGAGGGUAAUGUAACAGGUUUUUGGAACUGCGCUCGCUGUUGUCCUCUCUUUAGAGGCUCGUAUUGCUGGCACCGUUGAAGUCUGCGUGGAGCAGUCAGACAUGCAGCGCAGCUUUAGGCUGGACUCUCUGCUUAGACCCAACAGAGAAACCUUUCGGGCCUCCCAGGAGAGCACAGUCAAGGACGGUUGAAAUGAUUCAAGCUCCUUCAGCUUUGAAAUAAGUGCAUGAGGCAGAAAGCCUGUCACUGCCCGCGGGGCUUGGUGGGUGCCCCUUGGGUGGGCACCCCUUUGCAUCUCCCGGCGUCUCAGGGCUGGCCCUGGUGGUGCCUCGAGGGAGACGCGAGGGCAGCGAGAGCCCACGGGGCUGCGAGGUGGCCAAGAGGAGCCUACUGAGGGACACGUGAGGCCUUUCUAGCAGAGGGCUCGCUGCCUGCCCAGCCCGCCUGCAGGCCCCGGGGCAGCCAGCGUGGUGGGACCGGCAUUCCCCAGCCCACGUUGUAUCAGGAGAGCUGCUGAGCAAGGGGUGAUGGCGGGUCGGGGGCACGGACCAGGAGGCAGCGCUGGCAAGAAAAGGGGCUGUUUCUCUCCCCACUGUUGCCUCUUGUAGGAGGAAAGACUGAAAUGAACUUGCUCCCUACUUGCCCAAGUUUCAAUUUUCCUAUUUUUAAUUUUAGCUGCAGCGCUGCCACAUCCAGUCUUCCUUCAUUUUUUCUGCAAUGUUGGAGACUUCUGAUUUAGAGUGGGUAUUUAAUUGCUUAUAAUUUCUCCAAAUUUCCAUGUAUGCGUUUUUAAUCUAUUUGCUUCCUUCCUUUCCCGUGAGCUAUUAGCGUGAGUCAUUUUGUUUCCUGACUCAGACGAGGAUUUCCCCCCCUCUUUCUUUUUCUCCAUCCAGCACUUAUACGGGAACUCCUCCACCAGGCAGUGAAAGGCGAAAGGGAAUUAGAUCUUUAUCAGACACUUUCUUUCACCCAAGAUUUCCUUAGAUCAGUAAGUUAAAUAGAUGCUAACAAAAGCCAAGCAAAUGCUUCCUCUCCUCUCUAGAAAAAUCCUUGCAGCCAAAAGUAUUCCCCUCUCCUCCUGUGCAGGCAAACCUGGAGGUAGUGCGGCUGUGUGUCCUUCUCUCAGAUGUACUGCUGUCAAUCUUCUGCCGUGGUAUGAUUUCACUUAUUCUCUCUUUGGCCAUAGAGUUCUAGGGAAGACAAGAAUUGAAUUUCUAGCCAGAAAAAAAAAGAGAAAAACAAGUAGAAAAAAAAAUCCCAACAUUGCUUCAAAUCCCUGCCAACUUUUCAUGCCUUCAUAGCUAAGCCAAAAAAUAAGGGCACAAAACCAUUUUUCUUCAUUUGCAGGUCACCUUGAAGGGUAGAUGUGUAGCUCUUUUAAUAGUGUUUCUUCUUUCAAGAGGAUUUCAGUGAGAAAUGUGGCAAUGACUGAAAUUCCCCAUUUCCUUACCGGUCCUCAAUUUUGUCUUGAGGGUAUGCAAGCAUCCGGACAAUUCUUCACUAUGGAUUUCCAUUCCAUUCCUGCAACACAGUCUCAUUUGCGGUACUAGAGAGGUCUGGCAUGAAUGUGCUUUAACGUAAUUUUGUAAGCAUGGAUAGACAGUGCUUUGGACCCAGGUAAACCACAGAGAAACACAGGUAUUAGUUGUACUUUUGGCACUUUGUCUGGGUUUUCCAAAAGUGCCCCAGCUCCUUGCUUAGGGUGUCGGAGGGCAGCUGUUAAGUGGUGCUCAUAGAAAACAUCACUGCCUGCCAAUGCUGGCACUUGGCAGAGAGCAGGCAUCCAAUGUCCCCAUGGGGGCUGACCUCCCAUCACGGGCUGUGGACCUAGGGACACUGGGGAAUGGAGAAAUAAUUGCUCUGUGCUCAGAUAGGAUCUGCACAGCGAAGAACCUCUUGGUCCUGCAGCCCGUGCACACAAGUUCAAAUAGCCGUAGUACUGGAGGAGAUGCCUGCAUGUCUCUAAAACAGGGCAUGCAUCCACUUUCCACCCAAAUGCUGCCCCUUUGUUUUGUGCGACAUCUCUGUGAUGCUCUUGUUAACAGUUUCACCCAAGCUGAGCAGGCACAUAUUAAAAAGCAUGAAAAAGAUGUAAGAAAGAGUGUGAAUCCCCCAAUGGGGAAGGAGCAUUAAAAGCAGUGGAAGAGCAGGGACCUUGCAGAGCAGUGGGGAGAGGCUGGCAAGGACAGACCACUCACGACUUUGGUGCGUGCUUUACUCUCCUGGUACAUUGUGACCCACCAAGGAUAAGGCCUCUGCUUGGAGCAGAGGUUCUCCGAUGCUUUCUUGCAGGUGGCUGGGACAAUGGCAAGAUCUGGCUGCUCAGGGGCAGCUCUGUCUGCUUCUCGCCUCUUGUCUUCGUCCCUGAGAAGCGAAGGCUGCACAGAGCCGAUGCAUCCCCUCCAGCAUGGGGCCAAGUGGGGACAGGACCCUGCUGGCCAUCUCCCUAGCUGGGAUGUUGGGAGCAGCUGCUGCCUGGUUAUAAACUAUCCAGAAGGUCAAGCUGUACAUGUGCUCUAUUUUAGGCAAAGUGGUUUUCCUGGCCUUAAUUGAUAACUGAUGAGAAAACCUUCUUCCCUACACAUACGCAUGCAUAAGUACAGACACACACAGACACACACGUGUGUAUAUAAACAGAUCUCUUUAAAUUUAAAUAGAUUUAUGCCCAAGGACAGGAAGGUGGAUAAGAGGUCAUAACAAAGAAAGAAGAUAUAAAACAUCUGUAUGCUCUUUUGUUGGGAUUAAAUCUAUAGUAAGUUGCAUUCAGUGUUAAUACUCCCGUGGGCUGGCUUAAUUUGUAUUUUUCAUUGUUGUCUUCACAUUUGUCAAGCUUUGAUGAUGGGGUAAUGAAGUAAAUAGAUGUUAACUACAAAUUAAUCAUCCCUAUCUUGAUAACAUAGUACAGGUACUGUUCACUUACCCUCUUCACCCAGAAAAGGUAAUGCACCUUCCAUAUUAGUACCAGAAAAGUCUGCUAGAAGCUGUAAUACAGAAAAAAAAAAAAUAGAAAAAAACACCCUGAGAAAGUGCAAAUAUUCAUUGAAACUGCUAGAAACCAGCUGAGUUUGAAUUGCAAUAAGGAGGCAAGGAAUUGGAGGGGAAUACUAACAUUGCAAGGAGAGUUUGUUGGAAAUGGUGUAUUGAUCAUGGGCAGAUUGCACCCUUGGCUAUGUUUAACUACUGAGAGGUUAGGUCUUUUGAGGGCUUUUUUUUUUUUAACUUGUGUGUGUGUGUGUGUCUGUGUGUGUUUCUCACUGUGUGGCAAGGGACGGAUCUAUUUACAAAUGUGCAGGCUGUUUUGCAACCUUUAUUGCUUUACUUCGGAGCUCGGUGUCUGUGGACCUGUUCUCGUUGUGGUAUUGGGUUUCUGGGAGGCUGGAUGCUCCUUCACAUGCUCCUGCCACCAAGUAGGCAAACAAGAGCAGAGCCUGAAGAAAUCCUGGGCUCUCCCAAUCACCUGUGGGUGACCUGAUGGGGCUGGAGAUGGAGACAGACAGCCUGCUAACUCUGGUGACGCAUCCCCUCCACUGAACACUUCAGAUGCCCCGCAAGCAUAUCUUUGGCAGCCUGUUUUGAAGAUGGGUUACACAUGCUUUGACCACCUAAAUUUGCAGUUUGGACUUUGACCUAGGCAAACAUGCGAAUUUUUGAUCCAUUGUUUUAUACCCGAUGGAGUGGUGUUUGGUUUUAUGCAGACGAGCUAGUGAAGUUUUACCACCUGGGCUGAUUUUGUGCUUGCAAUAGGAAGCAAGCUUAGAUUUUGGGUUUAUUGUUGGGUGGUCAUCAGUCGCUCAGCCUCCACCUGGUGUGAUCACUUGUCACUACACUCCAAUGUCAAUUUAAAUUUCCUUCUGUUCCUCUAUUCCCUGUGUCACAGGCUGCUGUAGACCUUUGCAGCCCCGUCCGCUCCUGUCGUGACACCUCGAUGAGUCAUCAGUGCCUCGUGGGGCCCCCAACAGCCCCAGCACCCUCAGCACCCAGACCUGGCUCUCUGCACAGGGGAUCGGCCAUCAGUGCAAGGCCAUGCCCAACUUGACUCCAGGUUUGCAAGGCGCUUCAACAUCUGGGUCCUCAGACCUCUUCACAACCUUUGCAGAAACCUUUGUCAGAGGAAGAAGUACUCGGUCAGACUGAGAUUGUCAAGCAACAUUUUCCUGAGCAGCAGCAGCAGUACCAGUCCUGUUCCUUCUCAAGGCAGACACCAGCAGCCUCCUUCAGCCAAGGGCUCAGGUCUGCCCCAUAGAUGUAGAAAGCUCUUCUAGUGGUCUUAAAGAUGUGUGCUUCAGACAAGUUACUACUUUCCAGAGGAAGCAGCUGCUGUUGGUUCAUUCCCUGGAUGAAUAGAGAAUGCUGCAAGAUUUGAAGGUAUUGUUGCUUAUUUGUGAGGAAGCAUUGCACAGCAUCUGGGCAUUUCUUAAAGUGAUCGCCUCUAGCAUUUGCCAUUUCUUUUUUAUUGUCUUUCUCUUCGCCAGUCCUCGGCACAAUCCCUCUCUCUCUUUUAUUGAUCAAUUGCUUGAGACUUUCAGUGAUCCAGAAGGUUCACACAGUUGUCCCAACAUUUUCUAUUGUUUUGUAUUCUGAACUUAAAUUUAUCACUGGUCCUUCAGAUUUUGAAAUGCAAGGUUUUGACAAGGUUCCUUCCCUCUUUACAUUCCUCUCUUUGUUGUCUCUUUCCCCUCCCAGCUGGUGCUGAAAAUACUUUCUCAUUGGUGAAGCUGUAACUCUGUUGGUUUUUCAAAGGGCUGGAUUUCAUUCCUCAUCCACCUCCUUCUCUAUGCACUCUAUAAGCAAAAACAUCUCCAUUCAUUCUGUAGGCUAUGGAAAAAAACAAAGCAGUGGAGUGGGACAUAAGUAUUCCAGAAUUCACUUCUCUGACGCCGUAGUUAACUAACAUUGACCUGUGGCUGCUUCUGUGGCUGUUGCAUAAUGCUUUAGAGUGAGUGUUUCUUUUGUUUUGUCUCCAGCCCAAGAAUUCAUUUUUAAUAAGAAAACUCAGAAGUAUCUCUGAAAGAUAGGGGCUUAUGAGUGUCACCACUGUGUUGCAGAUGCGGAAGCUUUCACUGACUCACGUGGUCCCCGUGGUCUCCAGCUAUCUGGAUUAAUGAGGGUCCAGUGUAGCCCUUGUCUUCUCUUACAAACACAUGUAACAGAGCCUCAGAGCUGCCUCUGCCUUUUCAGGCAUCUUCUCCAUGCCAUCAUGUGUGCACGACUGCUGCUUGGAGAGCCUUGGAACAGGGGAGGAAAGGCUCUCGGCUUGUUAAGCAAUCAUCUGGUUCCCUAUCCUUGAUGCUCCUGUGGCUAGAGGAGCAGCAUACUUUUUGUGUAACUUAGUCUGCCUCAGGUCUCCAUAAACUCCAUUGUUAAAUCUGACUCCAGCUAUUUGUUCUCUGAAAGUCAGUCUUACUAAGUUACUUGUUUUUCAUGGAUCCUCUUCUGCUUUGUGUCCAUCCUCAUGUUUGUGGAUCUGCUUGGUUAUCAAAUUGCUUCUAACACUUUUCCUUUUGUCCAUCAGGAUCUUUUCUCCUCUAUGAGGGAUUUCCAAUUGCCCAGGUCCUGCUUCCUGACCUCUGUUCUCUCCUUGGUUGUCUGUGAUCUCCUCCAUUGCCUGUAACUUGUUCCAUUUUCUUAUGCCAAACGAGAAUCCACAUUUCCUCACACAGGCAACUGGCUGGCUCUCUCUUCAGUUGCUAGUGAGGAAUGAGGAAUAGAAAAGGAAAGCACGAAAUGCAAUUCCCUGUUUUAUUUCUUUCUACACAUAAAGCAUGGUGAGUGCUUUCAGGAACUGUUUCUUCGAGCAUUGUGUGAUGAGAUCCUUUGCUUCCAAGGGAUUGUGUAGCCUGUACACUGGGACUCUGCCUGGUUCUCAUACAGCCUGAAUCCCAGCCCUGUCAUAGGUCAUGACGUAGGAGCGAAGAUGUUUCACAUCUUUUUGCUUUUGUACUACCGGGUGUCCUGUGCUUGGCUUGUCUGAAUGUCUGUUGUGCUGAAUUCUGGCUUCUCUGGCUACCUUUGGAGCUCAGCACACCAGGUAUCUGCCUCCCUGUGGGUGGCAUGUCUGGGGAGGUCCCCUGGGUAGGUCAAGUAGGCUAUGCAGAGUUUCUCUUGGGGUUGUUGUCCUGACCAGAUCGUAGGGUGUCAGGGACCCACUCUGCAGCAGCAGGAUGUCGUUGAUGCAGGAUGCCAGUUGAUGGGCAUUCUCCAUGAAACAUGACUGCAACUCUGACAGCAGCCUUGGAAAGAAGCCAGGAGAUGUAAGCAACAUGCCCGUGAGCCAGCGGGGCCAAAUGUUGCAGUGAGAAUCACAGGCUCUAUUAAGAGCAUCAUUUUUUUCUGUUUGAUCUUUAUAAAGCCAACACUUAUUCCUCUGGGAAGGGGACCUCAUGGCUGCAGUUGCAGCACCAGUCUAAUGGGUCUUUAUACGUAGCUGCUUUAUAUCUCCUUCAACCGCUCCAACACCUCCUCCCACAAUGACUGCAUCAUUUUUGAAUGACUGCAAUGCUGGUAUUUGGCAAGGGAGAGGGUUUUCCAAAAGUUGAUUCAGUUCAUUUGUACCCAUGUCCUUGAGGUCUUGAAGAACUUGCCUACUCAAAGCAACAUACACACCUCUCCUGCACUCCCCUCCUACUCUGGAAGGGGAUUUGAAUAUAAUCGGUGCUGCUGUUGAAGAUGUCUAAGUCUGACCUUCACUUGGAGGUUAGGAUCCUAAAUCACACAGGCAUAUCUAAAAAAAAAUACAGGUUCUUAAGUGACUCAGGCAGUUUUGCUCACUCUGUGGGGAGAGAGGAGGUAUUUCCAAAUGGAAUCAGGAAAGAAGGAAGCAGCUGGGUACAUUUUAAUUCUAAUUUUUCCUAUAUAUCAAGCGUUAAAUUAACAAGUGAGGGAGAACACUUCUGAAGAGCUCUCUGCUGUUUAGACAGGCAUAUCAGGAUAAAAUUACUCUGUGCUUGCCCAUGGUUUGUCUGGAUACUCCUGGAACUGCACCACUAAAGAGUAUAAUUGUGCUGCUAUUUGAGGCUUCAGAUUUGGUGCUGCAAAUCCUCCCCUCUGUCUGACUACGCAAGGUUUGCUUGAUGACGUUAGGAAACUAUUCCCCAUAGGUGAUUUUCACUAUGGCAGGGUGCAGAGUUCCUUAGAAGAUAUGCUAUCAAGAGAAAAGGGAGAAUGGCUUGGCCAAAAGAUUUGUUUUUGUGGCUGUGAAGAUGAUUGGCUAAAAUGUUUGUUGGAGAGUGGUUUUCCUGCAGUGUUUCAGACGGGGGAAUCUAAUUGGCACAGGAAAGAUUUUGUGGUCAAGUGGCUGAUUUCUACCCCUGAAAGGUUGGUGUAAUGCACGGUCUAUUUCAGUACCACCUUAGAGAUUUUUAUUACCAUAGUGAGAAAAAGAACUGUUAUCAUUGCCUUCAACUUGGAGUAAUUGAAUUUAAAAUCAGAGCCCUCUUCAAAGUCUUUUAUUUCCUGGGUGAUAUGUGGCACUGAGGUCUUCCGAUUAGUUAACAUCAGUAUACAUCACCUCCAUGAAGCCCCACUCUGGGAUCCACAUAGCUGGCCUAGGCCACAUUUGUGUGCUUAGAGUACUCAUGUCUCUGACUAAAUGGUUCAUAUUCACUUUCACUGAGGCUCGGAUAUAAAAUGCUUCAGUGCACUGCAUAUGAUUUUUUUUUCUCAGUCUAAGUCCCAAGAGGACAUACUCCCGAUAUCCCCACUCAAUGAAAUAUUGUCUCUGCAGCCAGGAAAGCAAUCCCUUGAGUACAAACCUGGAAGUAGAGGAAUGGGUCAUUUCCCAGCAGCAUUUUCAAAUUGUCACACCUUCAAUUCUGGGGGGAUUUAUGGACUCUGCUAAUACAUAGAGCUGGUCCUGGGCAAUAAAUGCCCCAUUUUCACUACCAUUAAAACUGUAAUUAUUUCCCUUGUACAUUAUUUUUCCUGAAUACAUCUCAAAACAUUUAGGCAACACUAUCAUUAUUCCCAUUUUAUAGAUGGGAGAGUUGUGUUACAGAGAGACACUUGGAAAGCUUGGAAAGUGGGUACAAGUGUAUUCUGCAUUGAUGAGGUCCCCUUGCAGGAUGGCUAAGGGGUGUUCAUGAUGUGUUUGCUGAUCAGACCGAUAAAUGUGUCACCUUUUCUCCUUGUUUUUAAGGUUCUGGCCCCCAAGUGUGAGCAUUUCCACAGCAUAUCCAUCUACAGGCGCUAGAGCAGAGGUGGGAAGAAACAUGAGGAAGCUCCCCUUCAGCAAGUCAGCGUAUUUUGAUCACAGUGAUGGAGGCUGAGAUUACCAAAGUCCUUUAAGGAGUAUAUAUUUCCAGGGUCAUUUAAGGUAGUAAAAGCUGGGCACUCAACCUGACUAUGCAGGAUUCCCAGGGGAAUGAGCCAGUGACUAUUUGUACACGUGCACAGGGACGGUGAGGAGACAGAGCCAGCAGACAGGAGCUGUGUGGUGCUGCAGAAGGAUAGACCACCUGCUGCAGGAAGCAUAGACUAAAGGAAAAUGCUGACAGCAGCGCGGACCGACAGCUCUCUGCCUUGCUCCACUUCCAGCUCAGUGUCUAGUGUUUACCAGGACCAUAACAAUGCCUAGGCCAAGAAGAUUUAGGGUCUAAGCUUGCAGGUAAGGAAUAUCAUGGCAAUUUACCACCUAAAGGACAGACAAGAAAAGUCAGGACUGGUUUAAACUCCUGGCUUGUUCCUCAUGAGGUCACAACCUCAUUUAAUAUCACCACCAAAUUCUGAACUGCCAUGUGUACCUGGAGCUCAUGAGAUCUUCCUUCCCACUCAUUCCACCAGAUUGUCCUUGAACUUCUUCUCUGCUCGCAAUUGCUUGUAACUAGCAAAAUGAGACAGGGAAAACAUGAAGAUUUUCAGGGAAAAAACAGCUUUUUAUAUAACAAGCUUGAAUUUGAAUUAAAAACCUUGACUUUUGCAGAUUUCCAUCAGUUUUAAAGAGCCAGGAGGAUGCCAGCACUGCCUAUUCUUUAUGGAGAGGUGGGUUUGGGCUGCCCUCCUUACUCACUCAGAACGAUUUCUCCUUCAAGGAGGGGGAAGAAAUCACACAGACUACACUUGCCCAUAAUCAGCAACAUUCACAGAAUAAAUUAAAAGCUGAGACUCAAACUGAAAACUGAUCCACAAGUAAGACUGCUCUUGGUGUGAGGACACAGUUCUGCAGCAGGUAAAGUCUGCAUUCAAAAGGUUACUGUUUCAAGCCUUGUUCUGAUUUUUUUCCAGCCCAUUCCUCCAAAACCCAAGGCUCUGGCUUGUAUCCCACCAGUCCUUAGCCUUCCCAAAAUACUUCCACACACACCAGAGAUUCAAAGAAGGUGAAGGCAAGAAGUUUAGGUUUCAGUUCCUACUCUUUCUUAGACAUAAUGCUGACCCCCCAACUAACACGGAUUAUACUAUGACACUCCUGCACUUUCUGCAAUGCUGAGAAAUUGCAGUGGCAAUGAUAAUGCUCCUGAGGACCUUACAGUCUCUGAUCAGCAUCGGCAAGAAAUUCCUUCCAUGCCAGCUACUCUUCUUGAGACUGCAGCUGCAAAUGUUUAACUUUACCCUGGUGUCAUCACCAAUUCCCUCUCUACUAACUUUUUGGAGAGAGUCAUGGUCAGGAAUGAGAAGAUAUUUUUCAUGUCUUCCAUUUUUUUCACAGGUCCCCAAGGCACCUGCUGCCACUGGAGAGGGCAGGCCUGGAGAAGCUGCUAAAAGAGACAAGAAAACAUCAUGCAAACAGCGUCCUCUUACCAGGCAUCUAGAACUGCUAAGGUCCCAACUGGGUAUCUGCCAUUCAGGCAGUUUCCAGUUUGGAGGAAGCAUUCAGUUAGUGCCAUGUUGUCCCAGGUUUGAACUCAUGUGAGCUGUUGAGGCAUUAGUUGUUCCUCCUUGCUGCUACACACUUGACUGUGCUUCCUUGAAAGCUGCAGGGGUACAUCAGCAGGGCUCAGCAUGAGUUUAUGUAUGUCAGUGACAUAUGAGUAUAAUACAUGAAGUGGCUUCCCCCCCACACACACCUUUACAGGCUCCAGGAUGCUGACAGAGCUCCCAUUUGGACUCUGGAGUCCCAUUGAGAUCAUGACAGCAAUGUUUAUGUGCUAUUCUAAUGCUGGUUUUAGUAGCAUAAGUGCUUUUUAAUGCAUAGCAUUACAGCAAGUGUGUCCUAUUCUCUCCCUUACUGAAUGGCUGUCUGGAGGGAUGUAAUUCCAGCUUCUGCCUCGACAUGCAGUUAUUUACAAGCACAGUUACAUGUCCACAUCAGGCAUGGUUAAAGCCACUGCUGAGCUUUACUUAGUUAAUUUGGCAUGCACCACAUGAGAAUCACCUUGACAGAACAACUGUUGUCAUCCCCAACACACUCAAGGACCCCGUAAUUUCAUCGAGAGGGCAACAGGACGUCAGAAGCACACCCAUAGGGAGGUUAAUGCAGUGACGAGCAGCAGUGUCACCCAAGGGGACCAUCGCAAGGUCCUACCCUCUGGCAUGCAAGAACCCUGCAGGACACCUGCAGCAUGUCGUGUGGGGUGGCCAGCCUUGUGGUAGCUCCUUGGCCACUGGUUUGCUGAAUACAGCCACACUGGCUUCUGGCUAGGAGUUUGCAGACACAGUUGCAGACUUUGGCCAGGAAUUGGCUCCUACAGCCUCUUGCUGUCCAACAUGAAACUCCGCUGGGGAAGAGAACUCAGCUUGAAGUGAUAUAUCUAACAAAGUUACUCUGUACAGUUAUUUUACAAGGGAUUGCCUGUUCUGACAGUGUUUUCCUGAACCUUUGUGUUUCCUGCUCCAGACAGCACCAUCUCAUGAGGAACCGGAAGCAUCUUUGUUAUUUGGAAAAGAGAAGGCUGCAGAGCUUAGUUCAUCCUGGAGGGAGUAGAAGUCCUGUUGGAAAACAGCAAAACGUCCUUGGCCCUAGCUGCCUGAAAGACAGAGGUAAAGAACGUGUGAUGGUAGCCAGUGCCUCAGGCACUAGGGGCAUUUUGGAUAUCCCAGUUGCCUUUGGGGAGGUUGCCAGUACACUCACCCAGUUCUGUGGGAAGCUGGCUGCCCCUUUGCCUAGCACCCGGUGGCAGAUUGCUCAGUGAAAAUCAUCAGCUUCCAUGUGGCUGCUGCUGCUUUCACUGCCAUGAAGAACUGCAGCCAUUUGCAGCACUGGACUUCCAGCUAAGCACUGGUUCUAGUGGAGAUGCUUCCCAGGCAGGUUUCAGCAGCCCUCCUUGUAGAGAAGAAAUCCAUCUUCCCAUUCAAAGGGACCGUACGCCCUGGGCCUCCUCCUAUUCAGAGUGCACUUAAAGCUCAGCUGCUGUCUCUUCCCAGGGCCAGUGUCUUCCAGGGCUUUCACUUGGGAUCUUGCCUCUCCCAGGAACUAGGAGGGAUGGCUCAGAGCAAACAGCCUUUACCCUCCUUACCAAGGUCCUCACAUUCUGGGUGAGUUCCUAGUCUGAUGCCACCUUGUCCAGGUGGCAAGCAGGAGUGUGGCAGCUGCAUGCAAGAGCUGGAAUAUAAAACCAAAUAACUAAAUACACAUGUGUAAUUAAUAAGCAAAUCUCAAAAGCCAGAGUUGUGUUUGACUGUAAAGAAAUGCUGUUGACUGCUUUUCUGCAUCUACCUAUAUAACUGCUUUCUGAUGGCUGUUUUUCUAUAUCCAUUGUGUUGCUACAGAGGUUCCUGUUUGCCCUGAAGUUCAGCAGCAGAUGAAUUACAAAGGCCAUUUCCCUGGACAUUCCUUCAGGCUAAGAAAGUGAAAAGGCCAGAGGGGAUGCGAGAGAUGCUGGAUGUCACAUAAGAGGCAGAGAAGCAAAAUGGCUCUUUGGGGCUCCUGUGGUUGUGUUCAUCUGAGGUGAUGAUCCGUGCCCCAUGCCUUUGGCUAGUCAAACUCCCCUGGCUUCAGCAUACAACAGCCAACAGUUGCUCCAGCCUUUAUCUCAGGAAGAGCCCAAAGCAGGGGCUGUUGGAAGAAGCCUGGUGACUGGGAGCUUUCUUCUCACUGGGCUGGCAGGGCAAUGAUGUUCAUGGCUUUAUUUGGGGCCUGUUGUGACUUGCAUUGAUGAAAGGAUGUUCAAAACUAUUGCCUGCUCUGUCAACUUGCACUGUCGGGGGGAUGGAGGCUGAGGGAAAACUGAUGAGAAAAUAUUCACUAGCCCAACUACUAAGUGAGAUCUCUCUAAUGGAGAAUUUAAUCUCCAAGACAUUGUUAUCUCUGUUAGGUUUUCUGUAUCUUAGGUACUCAAUAAAUGAUUGCUAAAGUAA